rnacentral:rRNA from 1 species
UGCCCAUAAGACUGGGAUAACUCCGGGAAACCGGGGCUAAUACCGGAUAACAUUUUGAACCGCAUGGUUCGAAAUUGAAAGGCGGCUUCGGCUGUCACUUAUGGAUGGACCCGCGUCGCAUUAGCUAGUUGGUGAGGUAACGGCUCACCAAGGCAACGAUGCGUAGCCAACCUGAGAGGGUGAUCGGCCACACUGGGACUGAGACACGGCCCAGACUCAUACGGGAGGCAGCAGUAGGGAAUCUUCCGCAAUGGACGAAAGUCUGACGGAGCAACGCCGCGUGAGUGAUGAAGGCUUUCGGGUCGUAAAACUCUGUUGUUAGGGAGAACAAGUGCUAGUUGAUAGCUGGCACCUUGACGGUACCUAACCAGAAAGCACGGCUAACUACGUGCCAGCGGCGCGGUAAUACGUAGGUGGCAAGCGUUAUCCGGAAU